rnacentral:rRNA from 1 species
GACGAACGCUGGCGGCGUGCUUAACACAUGCCAGUCGAGCGGUAAGGCCUCUUCGGGGGUACACGAGCGGCGCACGGGUGAGUAACACGUGGGUGACCUGCCCUCAGCUCUGGGAUAAGCCUGGGAAACUGGGUCUAAUACCGGAUAUGACCACAUGUUGCAUGGUGUGUGGUGGAAAGUUUUUUCGGUUGGGAUGGGUCCGCGGCCUAUUAGCUUGUUUGUGGGGUGAUGGCCUACCAAAGCCACGACGGGUAGCCGGCCUGAGAGGGCGACCGGCCACACUGGGACUGAGAGACGGCCCAGACUCCUACGGGAGGCAGCAGUGGGGAAUAUUGCGCAAUGGGCGGAAGCCUGACGCAGCGACGCCGCGUGGGGGAUGACGGCCUUCGGGUUGUAAACCUCUUUCGACCGGGACGAAGCGUAAGUGACGGUACCGGUAGAAGAAGCACCGGCCAACUACGUG